rnacentral:lncRNA from 1 species
UUAUAAUUAUUUUGUAUAGUGAUUGGUUAAUUUAUUCUACAUUGUAAUUUUGAAUUUGUAAUGUUCAAAAGUUCCGUUUAACGCAAUUUUCAAAGUUGUUCGAUAACUUAUCACCUGAUUCCAUUCCUGAGCCUAUUCCAUUAGGCUGAAAACGUUUGUGGAUUAAUAAAUAUUUCUCAGCGUUAUAAGGUGUUGAAUGUUUUAAUGUUUUAAAAGAAGCUGAGUUUGAUAUUUAAUUUAUUUCAAUAAGUGCAUUGGAAUCUGUAUAUCAUUAACAUGUAUUCUACUUUGUUUUUGUGACUAUCUACUCUAUGAUUACCUUAUUGAUAUUAUCUAGUGCCGGAUUAACUGACUUCCACCGUAUUAUAUUCUUACUUAUUUGAUAGGAUUUCGGUCAUCUCUCAACGUUAAUAUUUAUGAUGUGCAUUGCUAAAUUUUGCCCAAAAAUAUAAUAAUUAUUAUUAAUAAUCUUUAUUAGCAAAGAGGGAUUAUUCCUGUUGUGGGGGUUGUAGAAAUUUAAUUUAUAAACAUUCCUUCAUAAUAACAUUAAAUAAUAUUGUAAUAUUCAGAAGUUUUGUAUACAAUAGAUUACAUAUUAGUUCAUUAUUAACACAAUUAAUAAUUAAUAACAAUAGUUAAGUUUUACAACAGUAUCAUAAGUUAACCCUGCUGAUUAUUUACACAUGGGUCAAGGAGGAGCCGGUCACCAUCGCUGCGAAUGAAUGCGGCGUGGCCAUGCAUACAGUGGUGAACUGGUACAACUUCUGUCGGGAAAUUGCGGAGGUUAUCGUCUCUAACGACCAAAAACAGAUUGGCGGUAAAAACCUAUGCGUCGAGGUUGAUGAAACUUUUACCAGGAGACGAAAGUACAACCGUGGGCGCAUAACCAAAGGCACCCAACUAACUAUAUUUGGUGCCUAUUGUUGGGAAACGCGAGAGAUGAUGUACUGGCAUGUGGAGAACAAAAGCAGACGUGUUCUAUUGAGCGACAUGUCCAGAUACAUCACUCCAGGUUCCAUAAUCAUUUCCGACAGCGCACCUCAAUAUCACGGUUGAACAACCGUGAUAUUGAGGUGCGCUGUCGGAAUACAAGACCAUUAAUCACAGCCAGCAGGGCCCUGGGAGAUUCGUCAACAGCGAUGAUCCCAAGGCUCAUACUCAAAACAUCGAGUGUAGACAUCGCUGGCUGAAGAAGUCCAUCAAGUCACUUCGCACGAACAGGAGCCUGCAGAGCUACACAUGUACUUAUGUAUACAGGACGCGGUUCCUGUCCCAGUUGCCAACAAUAUCGGCAAAAUUUUGGCAGUUCAUCGAACAUAUUGUGGCCGUCUACCCGGGUCCCGGUCGUGAAGGUCUCCAACUGAAGACGAUCGGUGUACCCGUGGACGAAGAUCAGCCACCAGACGAGCCCUAUUUUGAUGUGCACCUGCCUGACGAAGAAGAGCCGCAAGGAAAUGACAACCCCCCCAACUUCGGAUACCUUGGACGCAACGAACAUCUUUGUCGUCGACCUGAAGGAUCAAGCGGAGGCAGGGACCAGCAGCCUCAGCUAACCAGCAAAGCCUAGAUGUCGCCAAAUAGCGAGAGGACAGGGUCGAGGACAGCACCUCCUCUUGCGGGAAAAGCAGAGGAGGUGCUGUGAAGGUGAGUAUCUGCUUUUUUUUUUUCCUUUGCUUUUUACAUUGGCAGUUAAGUUUAGUUCACACUAAGCUCGAUUUGCUGGCGAAGGCGAAAAUCAUAGCGAAUAACACUUCAGACAUAACAUCGUUUCCAGUGAAUUUCAAGAAUCUCUUCGAAGUUCGGAACUGAUCCCCGAAAGAGGAAAUGAUUAUUUUUCCAAAUGAAAAAAAAAAUGUUGAGCUGGUUAACGACAAAAUAUCGGAAGUGGCCAUUUUGUUUUUUGAGAUGACGUUUUUGCUCGCUUGCAAAUGAUCGGCUGCUUAAAAUUCGCAAUUGCUUUUCAUAUUUGUAUGGGUCAAUUUCGCUAAGUGAAUAAAAAUUGCUUUUUGCAUUGGCUUUUGAUAUUCGCUCAGUGUGAACUAAGCUUUAAGGCGGAAAUGGUUAGAGAGUUUAGAAGCGGUUGCGGUUCCUAUCGCUUGUGAGAGUUUUAACAGAGCGACAAUGUGGGACGUAAUACUUCUGCUUUGGCGGGCGUAAUGAAUUCAUAAAAAUUCAAAUUGUCGGGGUUAACUAACUUAAAAAAUUUUUUCGUUUAUUUAUAUAUGUCGUAUAAUGUUAAACGUUAAAUUACUUAGCCUUUCUAACGGAAAAAAAUAUAAAAAUACGUAUUAUUUCGGUUAAAGUUAGGCAGCAUAAGUUAUUUAUUAAUAAUAGUCGACUUUAUUGAAAUAUUAAUAUAGCCAUAAACAUGGUUUUCAAAAACAACGAAUAAAUUAUUGCUAUGUAAUCU